AUGCGGUUUUCUUAUCUUUGGUUCAUCUUCGCUCGUGUCGUAGCUUGACACGGUCGCCGCCAUAUUGUUUGUUUUCGAAGUGCAUAGCAACAGUCCUCGUCUCCUAUUGGUGCACGUGACCUAAAAUGGCUUCACACACUGACGAUACGACUCCGCCGUAUCCAUAUCACUGCGCCACGGGGGGAAAAAAGACCGACACGAAAACGCUAAUUACUAAAAAAUGACUGGAAACCAUCCAUUUCAGUGGAACGAACCAACACAAUUUUGGCUCAGCCAAUACAGCCUACUGCUGGUUCCAAGUAAAGGUCAACAACAGCUGGGUGGAUGGUCCAAGGAGUGUCCUGUUUGAGCUAUCCUGCCUCCGCACCCAGCCUAAGGCGAAGUUUUCCAGAGCAGUCCAGGCCACCUGGAUUUUCCGUUCUAUGGACUUGUCUGUUAUGGUGACCGGGGGACUGAAUUGAGCAUUUGCCCUCUGCCAACAGCCCACCAACUCCACCCUGACAUCCUUGACCAGCUGGUUGAUGCUGUUGUUCCUCUUUUCCACCCCAUCCUCCAACAGCCUCUUUUCCUGCAGGUAGAUGCCAUGCCUCAGGACACCCCGGAGGGUAGGGAGCUCAGUUUGUAUCAUCGGUUCUCCUGGACCUGUCACAUCAGCCAGACUAGUACCAGCCUCAUGCCUGGUCUUGGGACCCAUCUCAAUAGGAGUUAUCAAUAAAAAGGUUCAACAGUUCAAUUCAAAUAUGUUCGAGUACAAAGUGUUCUCUUAAUGAUCUGUGAUGGCCGGCAGCAUGUCUUGGCAUGUUAGAAGAGUAAAAGUUUUAUUGGAAACUAAAUAAGUUUAAUUUUUAAAAGGACCAUUUUUAUAUUUUUAAAGGGACCAUUUUCAACUGUAGUAAAUAUCUGGUUUUAAAUGGAGAUGAUAAAUAUUGCAUAAAAAAU